rnacentral:rRNA from 1 species
CUUCGACCGCGACCCCAUGUCAGGCGGGACUACCCGCUGAGUUUAAGCAUAUCAUAAGCCGGGAA